rnacentral:misc_RNA from 1 species
AGAGCGUCCAUAAUUAUCUUCUCCAUGGUGGAAUUAUCAGCAGCGUGGAAAGCUUCCUUGAGUAGGGUGAUCUUGGUGGUGGAGAAUGGUAAUUUUGAGGUGAUCGACCGGGGCAAAAACGACCUUUGUGGCAUUUUAUCUCUAAUGUCCGGCAUUGGCAUCACGUUACCCUUCUUCAGCUCAGACUCACGGAAGAAUUUGCCAGGCUCAAUCCACUUAUUUAC